CAGCAACCUUCUCCCAUUCAGUUCAGCAAUGACUCCUCUGUGAAGCCUUCUCUGACCACUUAAUGGAAGCCCUUCCUGUUUUCCUUUGGCCCUGGUGGACCUGGUUCUUCCUUUUGCAGUGCUCAUUACUCUGUUGUACCUCAACCCAUCUUGAUUAUGCACAUCCCUGGAGCAAAAUUAUGUUAUGGAGCCCAGCACAACAUCUAGCAGGCAGAAGCCAAGUAGAAGACAGACUGUGAGACUGCACCAACCAGCCCAGCAGACAGACAAUAGAGCCACAAACAAUAGCCAAAUUCAACCCAAUUGCUCAACAGAGAGCCUUGGACAGAUGGGUGUGUCCCCAGAUCAGUGAGUUAUGUGGCUUGGACACAG